UGGGGAAUUUUGGACAAUGGGCGAAAGCCUGAUCCAGCAAUGCCGCGUGUGUGAAGAAGGCCUUCGGGUUGUAAAGCACUUUUGUCCGGAAAGAAAUCCUUGGCUCUAAUACAGUCGGGGGAUGACGGUACCGGAAGAAUAAGCACCGGCUAACUACGUGCCAGCAGCCGCGGUAAUACGUAGGGUGCAAGCGUUAAUCGGAAUUACUGGGCGUAAAGCGUGCGCAGGCGGUUUGCUAAGACCGAUGUGAAAAUCCCCGGGCUCAAACCUGGGAACUGCAUUGGUGACUGGCAGGCUAGAGUAUGGCAGAGGGGGGUAGAAUUCCACGUGUAGCAGUGAAAAUGCGUAGAGAUGUGGAGGAAAUACCGAUGGCGAAAGGCAGCCCCCUGGGCCAAAUACUGACGCUCAUGCACGAAAAGCGUGGGGAGCAAAACAGGAUUAGAUACCCUGGUAGUCCACGCCCUAAAACGAUGUCAAACUAGUUGUUGGGGAUUCAUUUCCUUAGUAACGUAGCUAAACGCGUGAAAGUUGACCGCCUGGGGAGU
rnacentral:rRNA from 1 species